UACGGAGGGUGCAAGCAUUAAUCGGAAUGAUUGGGCGUAAAGGGCGCGUAGGCGGGAAAUAAAGUUAGAUGUGAAAUUCUGAAGCUCAACUUCAGAGCUGCAUUUAAUACUCAUAUUCUUGAGGGAUGGCGGAGAAAACGGAAUUCCACGUGUAGCGGUGAAAUGCGUAGAUAUGUGGAAGAACACCUGUGGCGAAAGCGGUUUUCUAGCUAUUACCUGACGCUGAGGCGCGAGAGCAAGGGGAGCAAACAGG
rnacentral:rRNA from 1 species